GAUGAACGCUGGCGGCGUGCCUAAUACAUGCAAGUCGAGCGAACGGACGAGAAUCUUGCUUCUCUGAUGUUAGCGGCGGACGGGUGAGUAACACGUGGAUAACCUACCUAUAAGACUUGGAUAACUUCGGGAAACCGGAGCUAAUACCGGAUAAUAUUUUGAACCGCAUGGUUCAAAAGUGAAAUACGGUCUUGCUGUCACUUAUAGAUGGAUCCGCGCUGCAUUAGCUAGUUGGUAAGGUAACGGCUUACCAAGGCGACGAUGCAUAGCCGACCUGAGAGGGUGUACGGCGACACUGGAACUGGGACACGGUCCAGACUCCGAGGGGAGGCAGCAGCAGGGAAUCUUCCGAACUGGGGGAAAGCCUGCAGGAGCAACGCAGCGUGAGUGAUGAAGGUCUUCGGAUCGUAAAACUCUGUUAUUAGUGAAGAACAUAUGUGUAAGUAACUGUGCACAUCUUGACGGUACCUAAUCAGAAAGCCACGGCUAACUACGUG
rnacentral:rRNA from 1 species